rnacentral:rRNA from 1 species
UCCUACGGGGGGCAGCAGUGGGGAAUAUUGGGCAAUGGGCGAAAGCCUGACCCAGCAAUGCCGCGUGAAUGAAGAAGGUCUUAGGAUUGUAAAAUUCUGUCCUAUGGGAAGAAACAAAUGACGGUACCAUAGGAGGAAGCCCCGGCUAACUACGUGCCAGCAGCCGCGGUAAUACGUAGGUGGCAAGCGUUAUCCGGAUUUAUUGGGUGUAAAGGGCGUGUAGGCGGGAAUGCAAGUCAGAUGUGAAAACUAUGGGCUCAACCCAUAGCCUGCAUUUGAAACUGUAUUUCUUGAGUGCUGGAGAG